GAUGAACGCUAGCGGCAGGCCUAACACAUGCAAGUCGAGGGGUAACUAGAGUGAUAGCAAUAUUACUUUGGCUUGACCGGCGCACGGGUGCGUAACACGUAUGCAACCUACCUUAUACUGGGGAAUAACUUCGAGAAAUCGGCGCUAAUACCCCAUAACAUUGCGAAGAGGCAUCUCUUUGCAAUUAAAGCUCCGGCGGUAUAAGAUGGGCAUGCGUCCAAUUAGCUAGUUGGUGAGGUAACGGCUCACCAAGGCUAAGAUUGGUAGGGGUUCUGAGAGGAUGACCCCCCACACUGGUACUGAGACACGGACCAGACUCCUACGGGAGGCAGCAGUGAGGAAUAUUGCGCAAUGGACGAAAGUCUGACGCAGCCAUGCCGCGUGCAGGAUGACGGCCCUAUGGGUUGUAAACUGCUUUUGUACGGGAAUAAACCCUUCUACGUGUAGGAGGCUGGAGGUACCGUAAGAAUAAGCACCGGCUAACUCCGUGCCAGCCGCCGCAGUAACAC
rnacentral:rRNA from 1 species